rnacentral:tmRNA from 2 species
GGGGACGUUCGUGGAUUCGACGGGAUCGCAGUGACACAGUCGUGCAUGCCGUGGACGUGCCGGAGCACCACGCUAAAAGUUUCGGCAAACUAUUAAUCGGCAACGAUUACGCUCUCGCUGCCUAAUCUUAGGUAGCCGAAGCCCGGCUGGCGCGACCGCCGCCGCCGGUUCCUUCGUCACCCCAGCGGUCUGGUCCGAUGGUCCUGGCUGGAGCCAUCGGAUGAGAACCACAGCCUGGUUUCGGGCGAGCCUGUCCAUUGGCGCAACCGGAACGAGAUCAAACAAUGGAAUAAGCAUGUAGAUCGGCCGUGGAGCGCUUUUUCGGACGAGGGUUCGACUCCCUCCGUCUCCAUGC